rnacentral:pre_miRNA from 1 species
CAUCUACUCCCUCCGUUCGGAAUUACUUGUCUCGGAAAUGGAUGUAUCUAGAACUAAAAUACGUCUAGAUACAUCCAUUUCUGCGACAAGUAAUUCCGAACGGAGGGAGUAUUUC